GAUGAACGCUGGCGGCGUGCCUAAUACAUGCAAGUCGAGCGAACCGACGAGGAGCUUGCUCCUCUGACGUUAGCGGCGGACGGGUGAGUAACACGUGGAUAACCUACCUAUAAGACUGGGAUAACUUCGGGAAACCGGAGCUAAUACCGGAUAAUAUAUUGAACCGCAUGGUUCAAUAGUGAAAUACGGUUUUGCUGUCACUUAUAGAUGGAUCCGCGCCGCAUUAGCUAGUUGGUAAGGUAACGGCUUACCAAGGCGACGAUGCGUAGCCGACCUGAGAGGGUGAUCGGCCACACUGGAACUGAGACACGGUCCAGACUCCUACGGGAGGCAGCAGUAGGGAAUCUUCCGCAAUGGGCGAAAGCCUGACGGAGCAACGCCGCGUGAGUGAUGAAGGUCUUCGGAUCGUAAAACUCUGUUAUUAGGGAAGAACAAAUGUGUAAGUAACUAUGCACGUCUUGACGGUACCUAAUCAGAAAGCCACGGCUAACUACGUG
rnacentral:rRNA from 1 species